CACACAGCAUGUGUUCAGGAGCUGACGGAGAACAGACACAAGGUCAGACAUGUCACUCAUCACCAUGACGACGUGUCUAGCAUUUAUUCUGAGGCUAACAAAAACACAGGAACUGCUUUGAUUGUUCUGUGCAUGUGUAUGUGAGCUGAGUGUGACGUACCGACUCUGACCAGGUAAAAGAGGACAUAUCCUGGAGACGAGUAGUGACUGCCGUACAUGAAGGGGGGGUCAGGCAUCCCUCUGUACCGAGACUGAGGACACACACACACACACACACACACACACACACACACACACACACACACACACACACACACACACACACACACACACACACACACACACACACACACACACACACACACACACAG